rnacentral:tRNA from 1 species
CAAGGAAUAGUUUAAGUAGAAUUCUAGCUUUGGGAGUUAGGGGUAGGGGUUAAACUCCUCUUUCUUUGA